rnacentral:lncRNA from 1 species
AUUGGAAAAAGAAGAAAACAAACAAGGAUGAUGUAAAGAUCCAAUCACACACUGCAUAAACUCUGAGGUUUCUGAUAUUUAGUCUCAAGUUUGAAGGUAGCUGCCACCUCCAUUAGGAAAAGAAUCACAACCAACACCAAUACGGGCAGCUAAAAGGUGGGGAUAUGGACAAGACAGAGUCCCGGCCUCCCUGGGAAACUGGUGUGAGGAAGUCCAGUCAGCAACACAACUGAGACCCCGCCGUGCCCAGUAGUGCCAGGCAUAGUGAAGUUAAGGUGAUGGGGAGGGGUGACCAUUGGAGGUGAAGGGACCUGAGAGUGGAGACCAGGACAGGGGAUGGGAAA